AUAUUUACCUAGCAAGUGAGACACCAUAAUCACGAAGGUGGUUUUCCCAGGGCGAGUCUUAUUCAUUACACUCUAGAUGUGCUGACCCCUGCGGUUUCCCCAAAUUCGGGAAACUCAAGAGCAUAAUUUGUGGUAGUGGGGGACUGUGUUCACGCUCUCACUUA
ensembl:snRNA U1 U1 spliceosomal RNA